ensembl:snRNA U1 U1 spliceosomal RNA
AUACUUACCUGGCAGGGGAGAUACCAUGAUCAUGAAGGUGGUUUUCCCAGGGCGAGGCUUAUCCAUUGCCCUCUGGAUGUGCUGACCCCUGCGAUUUCCCCAAAUGUGGGAAACUCGACUGCAUAAUUUAUGGUAGUGGGGGACUGCGUUUGCGCUUUCCCCUG